UUGGUUCUGAAACCAGACCUGGACCACGCGCACGCUGAGGCCCGUCUCAGCCGCCAGCGUCUCCCGGACCUGGCCGGAGAGAGCAGACAGGGCUUGGAGGAAACCUCAAAGGAGGCCUUGAAGGCCCUUCGCUGCUGCGUGUGCCCUUGGGAUGAAGUCCACCUCCCUGCCCCGGCCUUUCGUCUCCUGUCCUGUGCCCUGCGAGCCCCUUCCCCAGCACACGCUGCCCACACAGCUGGACCUGCAGACUGAACACGGGCGCGCUGCGGACCACAGGCACAGACGUGCACACGCGAACGUGCUGCUGCUCGCUUGGGUGCACCCAUACUCAAAAGGCUUCGAUGCAGACCCAUGUGGGAAACAGGGCCAACAGACCCCUAAAGAGAAAGGCUGGCACCUGUGGACUGUUCCGGCCCUGGGCUUCCCGGACCCAUCUGGUCUGGGACCUGCCUUGUCCCAUUGACCUCUGGUCCCUUGGAGACCCAGCCCAGCAUGUCCGCCUCCAAGAGAACCAGUUCCCACUGCGCCAGCCCAGUGCCGGCCAGGCGUGAGUGCCUCAGGGGAGACCGCAGGGAGUUGCUUCCUUGAAGCUUCCAGGGGUGAAGAAUGGACAGGCAAAGACACGUGCACCGACAUCCUCACGCGAGGGUGAACACAGCAUGCAGUCGCCCUUGCACAGCAGCUGGCCCUCCUUGAGCACAAACUCGUCGCCCUUGCGGAGCUGCCGCUCGCACACGCAGCAGCAGAAGCAGCCCAGGUGGUACACGCACUCCAGCGCCCGCAUCACGAACUCCGUGGGGGCGAUCUUCUCCAUGCAGCCGCUGCACUUGGCUGCGAAGAGCCUGCAGCUUCCGCACCUCCAUCGUGAACGGGCGUUUACUGAGCACGUACAGCACGGCAGGCGCUGCGCUGAGCACCGUCCGCGCAGAAACGCAUUCAAUCCUCGCAACAACCCCACGAGACAAGGACGAAUAUUGAUCCCAUUUUAGAGAUGAGGAAAUUGAGGUGCUGGGUGGCAGCGUCGCUUGUUCAGGUCACGUGAGUAGCGAGUGCUGCAGCCCACUCCCAGCCCGGGCCUGGUCGGGCCCUCCGUGACAAAGGCGCUC